GGGUCUCAUGUGGGGAUGCGUGGGUUCGGGUAGUCAUAUUCCCAAUCUUUGGGUACAGCUAAUCGAAAGGCUGUUGUGUGCAGCCCGUAUAGUUGUGCAUGGCUGGUCGUCGAGUAUCUCCUGCAGGUUGUAAAUCGGUCCGGAUCGUCGCAAUUCUCAGACAUGAAUGCACUUGAUCAUCGUUAAGAAUCGUAGUGUAAUCUAGUUGAAUAUAAUGUUUUUCCUAGAAUUAAUAUGUUGUAUGACUUAGCUCCACUUGAUUGCUCAAUACAUUUU
rnacentral:lncRNA from 1 species